rnacentral:misc_RNA from 1 species
CAGCUAUGCAAGUUUUGAAGCAGUGGGUUACGAUUUCAGAGCUGUUGACUUGUCUGCAAUGAUCGAGAGGGUGUUGUCCUGCUUUGGACCUGCAGAGUUCUCCGUGGCAUUACACUGUGACAUUCUCGGGAAGGAACUUUACACCGAGUCUGGCCUGGAUAUCAUCGGAUAUGUCUCUGGAGAAAAGACCACUGAAAUGCUUGGUAAGGGAGGAUCGCUUACGUACCUCACAUUCAGCAGCGGUGGUAGCUGCGGAUCCCCCAGGUCAAUCCUUAAUAACUGUUGGAGUGAGAACGAGGAUGAGGAAAUGGAGAAGAUAUGUUAGUGAUAAAUGUCUAAUUCUCCUUUUUAGUAUGCUAUACUAUAGUAGUAAUAUUGGUUUUUGGUCUUUUAAUUCAGUUCUGUGGUGUGGUUUUUGGCUUUUCUGUUACUAUAAUAUUCAGUUGUCUGGUGUGUGCAAUAAAAAACCCUUUUGGG